CAGGCAGGACGCUACACAGUCUUCCUUCUGGGCUUUCUUCCUCACCUGAACACAAGGUUUUUAGUGGCUUCCAAGGUCUACGAGGAAUCUGUGCAGACCCAGCUGCCUGCUCAAAAGAAGUGAGUGGGCGAUUAAUGUAUCAAAAACCUUCAGACUCAUCUGCCUUUUCUCCUUCCUACAGCCUUGAGAGGAAGUUACAAAAGCAUCAGGGGGCUUUGCCAUUGUUAUAACCCAAACCACGUACAAGAUCAGGACUGACUCCCGAAGCUGGCAGAGUAAAGUCAACGUAAGAACGAUUGGGUUACAGCAAUACAGGAUCACGACGUUGAUUUACAGUGCAGUGGUGGUGAGUUCACCAGAGGGGAUUCUGAGCCAAAGACUAAAGUAAAAGCACCCUGCCCGCUUGCAGGCCAGGAGACCCAGUGCAAGCGCCACAGCAACAGGACACCACCACGCAGUGAGGCUUUUCUGGCCCUGACGACGGGGAGGGCGCUCUGCCCGCCCGGCGAGGACCCGGGGCCCUCACUUGGAGUCUUGGUCCUUCUCAUCUAUCAGGGCAGAGCGGAUUCCCAGCUUUUUCAGUUCUUCCACUAGGUCCCCAUUCUGGUGCAUCUGCAGAAGGAUGUCACAGCCCCCCACAAACUCGCCAUUGAGGUACACUUGCGGGAUGGUUGGCCAGUUGGAAUAGUCUUUAAUACCUGUGGAGAGAUGGAAGGUGUGUCACUGACAUGAUCAGAAGCAAGGGAGCCUUCCACCACAAACGCCACACCCAGCACUCCUGGAAGAAGUCCAGGUGCCUCCCCCCACUCCUGGACAGUGAUGCAUUUCAGAGGCAAAUGGACAGCGGUUCCUUAGCCGGCCCCUCAGCUUCUCCUUCGGUCUUUAGCCCCCAAGGAUUUUUGAGACUCCAGUAAGGCUCUUGGUAAAAGAGAUGGCAGCCAGGGGACUAACACCAGGAAAUGGGACUGUCUAACCAAGGCACGCGAGACAGGCAAAGCUAUAAUUAUCCACACGGGCCAUGUUUUCAGGGAAGGUCACGCUUGACCUCUAAAUGUGCUAUGAAAUCCACCCUGGACUCACUGGCUGCCCGGGUGACCCCCUCUGCCUUCUUCCUGCAGCUCUGAGUACUGAGGGCCAUCACUGACUGGCACUCAAGACGCGGAAUGCAUUCUGCCUUUGAGCGUUACUGAGGAGAGACACAAAGGACUACAGCCUAUGGCACAAGACUCCUAAGCCCAGGUCUCAGCUCCCCAGAUGGGCUCUACAGAACCUACUAAAGGACAUAACAUGUA
rnacentral:lncRNA from 1 species